UACGAAGGGUGCAAGCGUUACUCGGAAUUACUGGGCGUGAAGCGUGCGUAGGCGGUUUGUUAAGUCUGUCGUGAAAGCCCCGGGCUCAACCUGGGAAUGGCGAUGGAUACUGGCGAGCUAGAGUACGGUAGAGGAGAGUGGAAUUCCCGGUGUAGCAGUGAAAUGCGUAGAGAUCGGGAGGAACAUCAGUUGCGAAGGCGGCUCUCUGGACCAGUACUGACGCUGAGGAACGAAAGCGUGGGGAGCGAACAGG
rnacentral:rRNA from 1 species